GCUGUAGUUCUGUGGUAGAGCACCUGCUUUGCAUGCAGAAGGUCCCAGGUUCAAUUCCUGGCAUCUCCA